rnacentral:rRNA from 1 species
AGGUGCUGAAAUGGCUGACAUUUCACACCGCUCAGAAAGGUUACCGUGGCACAUGAAAAAGACCCAAAAACAGGGCUAUUUUGGCUCUGUGCAGCGAACGACCGUUCUGCAGCCUUCUACACUACUUUCGCUCACAUUUCUUAGGUAAAAAUACAUAAACUGAAGGCAAAACAAGCUGCCAAACAUAUGUACAAACAACAAAAAGCAAUGAAUGAUUCACGGGGUGAAGAUGUUACGGUUGAGCGAUGUCUGUUCGUGACAUAUAGCCAACCUACCUUAAUAGGAACAGGGGGUGACUAGGUUGGCUCUAUAGCCGACCUAAGCAGGGGGAAACUCUGGCCAUGCAACCCAGUAAGGAGGCGAUGACCACUAAGCCCUAAGGGCUAAUCUAAACCCUAGCUAUACUCUUUUAUAAGAUAGGAGUGGCUUUAUUACAAUCUAGCAUAGUUUUAUUGACUACUUCUAGGGACAUUAGGACUCAACCCUGCUGGAGUCCUAUCAUAAUGCUAUACGAUGCCACAUCCAGACGACCGCUCACCGCUCCCACCACAGCACACGAAAAUGACCCAAAACAAGCCAAAACUGGUCAUUUUUGGCCGCCCGAGCAAGCGUCGAAUAGCGAACAAGGCGAUAGACAGCACCUUCCUUGCUAUAAAAAUACCCCAUCUAGCCCUGUGCCACUCGGGGUUUCCAGGAUGCUGAGAUGUAUGAUGAUUCACACCACUCACCGCGGUCGUCGCAGCACAUAAAAACGGCCCAAAAAUAGGACAAAACUGGUCGAUUUUGCUCGCCCGAGCGAGAAGCGAGCGACGGACAACAAACGAAGUGAAGGGCAGCACCUUCCCCGCUAUAAGAAUGUCACAUCCAGACAACUACUCACCGCACCCACCGCAGCACGCAAAAAUGGCCCAAAAACAUGCCAAAACUGGCUGUUUUUGGUCGCCCGAGUGAGCAAUGAGCUGCGGACAGCGAGCAAAGCGAUGGGCGGCACCUUCCCUGCUAUACGAAUGCCCCAUCUAGCCCCGUGCCACCCAGGAGGUCCUAGGAUGCUGAGAUGGCUGAAGUUUUGCAUCACUCAUUGCGGUUGCCGCAGCAUACGAAAAUGGCCCAAAAACAGGCCCUACGGAUGCUCACGCAAUGUGAUUUCUACCUAGUUCUCUAAAUGUCAAAGUGAAGAAAUUCAACCAAGUGUAGGUAAACGAUGAAAGUAACUAUGACUCUCUUAAGGUAGCCAAAUGCCUCGUCAUCUAAUUAGUGAUGCGCAUGAAUGGAUUAAUGAGAAUCCACUGUCCCUGUCUACUAUCCAGCGAAACCACAACCAAGGGAACGGGCUUGGCAUAAUCAGUGGGGAAGGAAGACCCUGUUGAGCUUGACUCUAGUCUGACUUUAUGAAAUGACUUGAGAGGUGUAGGAUAAGUGGGAGUCGGUUUAUCGGCGGAAGUGAAAUACCACUACUUCUAACGUUAUUUUACUUAUUCCGUGAGUUGGAGGUGGGGCCCGGCCCCUCCUUUUGGACCCAAGGCCUACCUAGCGGGCCGAUCCGGGUGGAAGACAUUGUCAAGUGGGGAGUUUGGCUGGGGUGGCAUAUCUAUUAAAAGAUAAUGCAGGUGUCCUAAGAUGAGCUCAACGAUAACAAAAAUCUUGUGUGGAACAAAAGGGUAAAAGCUCGUUUGAUUCUGAUUUCUAGUACGAAUACGAACCAUGAAAGUGUGGCCUAUCGAUCCUUUAGACCUUCAGAAUUUGAAGCUAGAGGUGUCAUAAAAGUUACCAAAGGGAUAAUUGGCUUGUGGCGACCAAGCGUUCAAAGCGACGUUGCUUUUUGGUCCUUCGAUGUCAGCUCUUCCUAUCAUUGUGAAGCAGAAUUUACCAAAUGUUGGAUUGUUCACCCACCAAUAGGGAACGUGAGCUGGGUUUAGACUGUCAUGAGACAGGUUAGUUUUACCUUACUGAUGGUCGUGUCGCGAUAGUAAUUCAACCUAGUAUGAGAGGAACCAUUGAUUCACACAAUUGGUCAUCGCACUUGGUUGAAAAGUUAGUGAUGUGAAGCUACCGUGUGUCAGAUUAUGAUAGAACACCUCUAAGUUAGAAUCCUAGCUAGCAAUCGGCGCUCUCACCCAUCGUUCACCUCCCGACCAAUAGUAGGGGCCUUCGGGCCCCAUGGGUUUGU